rnacentral:misc_RNA from 1 species
AAUUCUCAACCUUAUCAGUUUAUUUCUGAUAGUGGCUUGGAUGGUGGGGGUGCUGGCUCCUUUAUUGAGGUCAGCUCCCCUUAAAUGCAUUAGCUGGUGCCCUGUGUGGACUUGUCUAUUGGUGUGAUAAUUAUCUACGCUAUGGAUGUCUUACUUAGCACUGCUUCUAACGGUCUGUUAAUUCGGACAAUACAUGACA